UGACCAAUUACCAUCAACGCCUCACAUC
rnacentral:sRNA from 1 species